rnacentral:rRNA from 1 species
UACGUAGGGACCAAGCGUUGUUCGGAUUUACUGGGCGUAAAGCGCGCGCAGGCGGUUCUUCAAGUCAGUGGUGAAAGCCCGGAGCUCAACUCCGGAAUUGCCAUUGAAACUGUGGAACUUGAGGAUGAGAGAGGUGAGUGGAAUUCCCAGUGUAGAGGUGAAAUUCGUAGAUAUUCGCAAGAACACCAGUGGCGAAGGCGGACUCACUGGCCCGAGUACUGACGCUGAGGUGCGAAAGCGUGGGAGCAAACAGG